AAAUGUAUGGGGAGAAAAGACGCGAUUUUAGCGUUUCUUGGGGUUUCUUGGAGUGUUAAAACGAGUAUCUUGCCUGCAAUCAGAAGUACUGUCCAUAUUUCUACCCCGAGGAGGUGGUUCGUCAUCACUUCGGACUGUUUCAUCCACACCCAUAAAGUGAUUGAGACCUUCAGUGAAGCUCCUCCUACAACAAUCCACCAAUAACACAGAGAGAAAUCACUUCAUGUGUGACAACUGAAAUCUUCAUGACUUAUUGUUGGUGCUGGUGAAAGAGGAGCUUGAGAAGAUGAAAGAUCCACAACCAUGCAGAAUAAAGACUGAAGAAACUGAAGAACAAAUAGAUAUGAUAGAAGUGAAAAAGGAGAGUCACGAUGAAGUGGAUGAGAAACAUCAGAUUGUAAAAAUAAACCAUAAUGUUUCACAGAAAGAAACUCUGAGAACAGAAGACAUAAAGUGUGAAAAGAGUUUCAGUCAAGAUGGACGCCCUGAGGAUCACAAGAGGACUCACAGCGAGGAG